GAUAACUUUAAAACCUCCAUCUAACAAUGUGAAACCAAAUAAGUAAAACGAUCAUCAAAAAGAUACAAAAUUGAAAGAGGAAUGUUGAAUGCUAAAUGCAAUCUCUUAUCCAGUAACUAUGCACACUCACUCACCAUAAAAAUAUAAAACAUGUCCCAUUCAAAAAAGUGAAAUGGCCAACCAAUACUAUAAAUUGCUAUGCAUCAAUAUUUUACUCUUACAUUCAUACUUGAAUGAAAUUACCAAACAAACCCUUGCUUAUGUCCUGAUCUUAAACUCUAUUUCUCUUUGACAAUGAAAGGACUGCCAAUUUUCCUUUCCUUAUUGGAGCCACAAAUCUGUGGCCUAUUCAUAUUUAUUUCCCUUUCUGGUCCUUUCCCAUGCCUUUGUUUCAAUUAUCUCAAGGCCUCUGCAUAUAAUUUAUUUUUCUACUCACUUGAAGCACUUUUCACUAAUUCAACUUUUGUUGAAGUUAAAUCCAAAUUCCUUGCCCAAUUGAUUCUCCAUUGUUUCUAAUUGCUUUUUAGAAACUAUUAGAGUUUCGCAUAUACAGUAUAAAGGUCUUCCAAUUCUAAUCAUUGUUCUACACUGGUUUAGGCUUUUAGCCACCAAACACACCAUACAAGAUCCAUG
rnacentral:misc_RNA from 1 species